UACGUAGGGGGCUAGCGUUGUCCGGAAUCAUUGGGCGUAAAGAGCGUGUAGGCGGCCCGGUAAGUCCGCUGUGAAAGUCGGGGGCUCAACCCUCGAAUGCCGGUGGAUACUGUCGGGCUAGAGUCCGGAAGAGGCAAGUGGAAUUCCCGGUGUAGCGGUGAAAUGCGCAGAUAUCGGGAGGAACACCUAUGGCGAAGGCAGCUUGCUGGGACGGUACUGACGCUGAGACGCGAAAGCGUGGGGAGCAAACAGG
rnacentral:rRNA from 1 species